rnacentral:tRNA from 1 species
GGUGGCUCAGUGAUAGAGCGCUUGUCUUGCAUGCAUGAAGCCCUUAGUUCAAUUCCUAGCACCA